rnacentral:tRNA from 1 species
GGGAGUAUAGUUCAGUGGUAGAACACUUGUCUGACAUGUUCAAGACCCUAGUUCAACCACUAGUACUUCAA